rnacentral:rRNA from 1 species
ACUUAAAUUGAAGAGUUUGAUCAUGGCUCAGAUUGAACGCUGGCGGCAGGCCUAACACAUGCAAGUCGAGCGGUAGCACAGAGAGCUUGCUCUCGGGUGACGAGCGGCGGACGGGUGAGUAAUGUCUGGGAAACUGCCUGAUGGAGGGGGAUAACUACUGGAAACGGUAGCUAAUACCGCAUAAUGUCGCAAGA